GACAGAGGUUGCAAGCGUUGUUCGGAAUUACUGGGCGUAAAGGGCGUGUAGGCGGUAGAGUAUGUCCGACGUGAAAGCCCUCGGCUUAACUGAGGAAGUGCAUCGGAAACUACUUUACUAAGAGUGCGAGAGAGGGUGGCGGAAUUCCCAGAGUAGAGGUGAAAUUCGUAGAUACUGGGAGGAACACCUGCGGCGAAGGCGGCCGCCUGGCUCGCAACUGACGCUGAGACGCAAAAGCGUGGGGAGCAAACAGG
rnacentral:rRNA from 1 species